rnacentral:rRNA from 1 species
GAUGAAUGCUGGCGGCGUGCCUAAUACAUGCAAGUCGAGCGAAUGGAUUGAGAGCUUGCUCUUAUGAAGUUAGCGGCGGACGGGUGAGUAACACGUGGGUAACCUGCCCAUAAGACUGGGAUAACUCCGGGAAACCGGGGCUAAUACUGGAUAACAUUUUGAACCGCAUGGUUCGCUAUUGAAAGGCGGCUUCGGCUGUCACUUAUGGAUGGACCCGCGUCGCAUUAGCUAGUUGGUGAGGUAACGGCUCACCAAGGCAACGAUGCGUAGCCGAAGUGUGAGGUUGCUCGGCCCAGCUGGGACUGAUACACGGCCCAGGCUCCGACGGGAGGCAGCAGUAGGGAAUCUUCCGAAAUGGACGAAAGUCUGACGGGCCAACGCCGCGUGAGUGAUGAAGGCAUUCGGGUCGUAAGACUCUGUUGUUAGGGAAGAAAAAGUGCUAGUUGAAUAAGCUGGCACCUUGACGGUACCUAACCAGAAAGCCACGGCUAACUACGUGCCAGCCGCCGCCGUAA